CGUGAAGCCAACCUCAAGAUGAGAUUUCCCAUAGCGUAAGCUAGUAAGAUCCCUUGAAGAACACAAGGUUGAUAGGUCGGGGGUGUAAGCAUGGUAACAUGUUCAGCUGACCGAUACUAAUAGAUCGAGGGCUUGACCAA
rnacentral:rRNA from 1 species